rnacentral:rRNA from 1 species
UACGGGGGGAGCAAGCGUUGUUCGGAUUUACUGGGCGUAAAGGGCGCGUAGGCGGCGUGACAAGUCACUUGUGAAAUCUCCGGGCUUAACUCGGAACGGUCAAGUGAUACUGUCGUGCUAGAGUGCAGAAGGGGCAAUCGGAAUUCUUGGUGUAGCGGUGAAAUGCGUAGAUAUCAAGAGGAACACCUGAGGUGAAGACGGGGUUGCUGGGCUGACACUGACGCUGAGGCGCGAAAGCCAGGGGAGCAAACGGGG